UAUACUUCGCCCAAAUGCAAUAAGUCUAAGCACUAUGCUUUAGGGAAGUUGGUGAGAGUCCAACACUGCCCCCGCAACGGUAAAACGAAACGUAUAUCUUUAUAAGUGUUUGCACUUACAUCACUGCACUCGUGUGGGAAGAUGGAUAUACC
rnacentral:ncRNA from 2 species